AUUGAAUCACAGCACCUACUGAAAGAAGUUCUCAAGUUCUGAUUGAGUUCUAAAAUUUUUUGAAGAUUGGAAUUCUUCAUAUGCAAAAGAAAAUGUGUGUGUGUGUUAAAUACAGUCAGCCCUCUUUAUCUGUGGGUCCUGCAUCCUUGCUUUCUACCAACCUCAGAUCAAAAAUAUUCCAGAAAAAAAAGGAUGGUUGCAUCUGUACU
rnacentral:lncRNA from 1 species